rnacentral:rRNA from 1 species
UACGUAGGGGGCUAGCGUUGUCCGGAUUUAUUGGGCGUAAAGAGCGUGUAGGCGGCCAGGUAGGUCUGCUGUGAAAACUCGAGGCUCAACCUCGAGACGUCGGCGGAAACCAUCUGGCUAGAGUCCGGAAGAGGAGAGUGGAAUUCCUGGUGUAGCGGUGAAAUGCGCAGAUAUCAGGAAGAACACCCGUGGCGAAGGCGGGUCUCUGGACAGUUCCUGACACUGAGACACGAAGGCCAGGGGAGCAAACGGG